rnacentral:rRNA from 1 species
GGGGNUCGCGAGAUCUACCAAUUCUAACCAAACUCCGAAUACCAUCGAGUUAGUCCGGGAGACAGACGGCGGGUGCUAAGGUCCGUCGUCAAAAGGGAAACAGCCCUAACCUACAGCUAAGGUCCCCAAAUCAUAUCUAAGUGGUGAAGCAUGUGGGAUUUCCAAAACAACCAGGAGGUUGGCUUAGAAGCAGCCAUCCUUUAAAGAAAGCGUAACAGCUCACUGGUCUAAAUAAGAGAUCCUGCGGCGAAAAUGUAACGGGGCUAAAGAUAUGUACCGAAGCUUAGGGUGUGCAAUUUAUUGCAUGCGGUAGCGGAGCGUUCCGUAGGCCGAUGAAGCGAUCUGGUAAUGGGUCGUGGAGGUAUCGGAAGUGCGAAUGCAGACAUGAGUAGCGAUAGGAGGGUGAGACACCCUCCCGCCGAAAGACCAAGGGUUCCUGCUUAAAGCUAAUCUGAGCAGGGUAAGCCGGCCCCUAAGACGAGCCCGAAGGGGGUAGUCGAUGGGAACCACGUUAAUAUUCGUGGGCCUGGUGGUGUGUGACGGAUCUCGUGAGUUGUCAGUUCUUAUUGGAUUGAACUGGCUUCGAAGAGGUUCCAGGAAAUAGCCCCACCGUAUAGACCGUACCCGAAACCGACACAGGUGGUCAGGUAGAGUAUUCUAAGGCGCUUGAGAGAAGUCUGGAGAAGGAACUCGGCAAAUUGACUCCGUAACUUCGGAAGAAGGUGUGCCUUUAGUAGGUGAUCCAUUUACUUGGUGAGCCCAAUGAGGCCGCAGAGAAUCCGGUGGCUGCGACUGUUUAUUAAAAACACAGCACUCUGCAAAGACGAAAGUCGACGUAUAGGGUGUGACGCCUGCCCGGUGCUGGAAGAUUAAAUGAUGGGGUGCAAGCUCUUGACUGAAGUCCCAGUAAACGGCGGCCGUAACUAUAACGGUCCUAAGGUAGCGAAAUUCCUUGUCGGGUAAGUUCCGACCUGCACGAAUGGCGUAACGAUGGCCACACUGUCUCCUCCAGAGACUCAGCGAAGUUGAAAUGUUUGUGAUGAUGCAAUCUCCCCGCGGAAAGACGGAAAGACCCCAUGAACCUUUACUGUAGCUUUGUAUUGGACUUUGAACAGAUCUGUGUAGGAUAGGUGGGAGGCUUUGAAGUAGGGUCGCUAGAUCUUAUGGAGCCAACGUUGAAAUACCACCCUGGUGUGUUUGAGGUUCUAACCUAGGUCCAUUAUCUGGAUCGGGGACAGUGCAUGGUAGGCAGUUUGACUGGGGCGGUCUCCUCCCAAAGCGUAACGGAGGAGCUCGAAGGUACGCUAGUUACGGUCGGAAAUCGUGACGAUGAGUGCAAUGGCAUAAGCGUGCUUGACUGCGAGACGGACAAGUCGAGCAGGUACGAAAGUAGGUCAUAGUGAUCCGGUGGUUCUGUAUGGAAGGGCCAUCGCUCAACGGAUAAAAGGUACUCCGGGGAUAACAGGCUGAUACCGCCCAAGAGUUCAUAUCGACGGCGGUGUUUGGCACCUCGAUGUCGGCUCAUCACAUCCUGGGGCUGAAGCAGGUCCCAAGGGUAUGGCUGUUCGCCAUUUAAAGUGGUACGCGAGCUGGGUUCAGAACGUCGUGAGACAGUUCGGUCCCUAUCUGCCGUGGGCGUUUGAGAUUUGAGGGAAGCUGCUCCUAGUACGAGAGGACCGGAGUGGACGAACCUCUGGUGUUCCGGUUGUCACGCCAGUGGCAUUGCCGGGUAGCUAUGUUCGGACAGGAUAACCGCUGAAAGCAUCUAAGCGGGAAGCCCCUCCCAAGAUGAGAUCUCACUGGGACUAUAAGUCCCCUGAAGGGCCGUCGGAGACUACGACGUUGAUAGGCACGGUGUGGAAGUCCAGUAAUGGGCGUAGCUAACGUGUACUAAUUGCCCGUGAGGCUUGACCAU